GCUUGCAUCAUGAUUUACAUUUGAGUGAGUGGCGAACUGGUGAGUAACACGUGGGAAACCUGCCCAGAAGCGGGGGAUAACACCUGGAAACAGAUGCUAAUACCGCAUAACAACUUGGACCGCAUGGUCCGAGCUUGAAAGAUGGCUUCGGCUAUCACUUUUGGAUGGUCCCGCGGCGUAUUAGCUAGAUGGUGGGGUAACGGCUCACCAUGGCAAUGAUACGUAGCCGACCUGAGAGGGUAAUCGGCCACAUUGGGACUGAGACACGGCCCAAACUCCUACGGGAGGCAGCAGUAGGGAAUCUUCCACAAUGGACGAAAGUCUGAUGGAGCAACGCCGCGUGAGUGAAGAAGGGUUUCGGCUCGUAAAACUCUGUUGUUAAAGAAGAACAUAUCUGAGAGUAACUGUUCAGGUAUUGACGGUAUUUAACCAGAAAGCCACGGCUAACUACGUGCCAGCAGCCGCGGUAAUACGUAGGUGGCAAGCGUUGUCCGGAUUUAUUGGGCGUAAAGCGAGCGCAGGCGGUUUUUUAAGUCUGAUGUGAAAGCCUUCGGCUCAACCGAAGAAGUGCAUCGGAAACUGGGAAACUGGAGUGCAGAAGAGGACAGUGGAACUCCAUGUGUAGCGGUGAAAUGCGUAGAUAUAUGGAAGAACACCAGUGGCGAAGGCGGCUGUCUGGUCUGUAACUGACGCUGAGGCUCGAAAGUAUGGGUAGCAAACAGGAUUAGAUACCCUGGUAGUCCAUACCGUAAACGAUGAAUGCUAAGUGUUGGAGGGUUUCCGCCCUUCAGUGCUGCAGCUAACGCAUUAAGCAUUCCGCCUGGGGAGUACGGCCGCAAGGCUGAAACUCAAAGGAAUUGACGGGGGCCCGCACAAGCGGUGGAGCAUGUGGUUUAAUUCGAAGCUACGCGAAAGAACCUUACCAGGUCUUGACAUACUAUGCAAAUCUAAAAAGAUUAGACGUUCCCUUCGGGGGACAUGGAUACAAGGUGGUGCAUGGUUGUCGUCAGCUCGUGUCGUGAGAUGUUGGGGUUAAGUCCCCGCAAG
rnacentral:rRNA from 2 species